AAUAUAUCAAGCAAGCGUGUCCUCUCAAACUGCUAGCUACAUCACCCUGUAACCUCCAUGUGUGCCCUUGCCAAGCAUUAGUCUUCAAUGUUUGCCCGCAGAAGAAGAUCAGAAGAAGAGCCGUUCCAGUGCUCUCUCUGCUUGGAUGUAUUUAGUGAUCCAGUCACCACCAGUUGUGGACACAAUUUCUGCAUGGCCUGUCUCAAUGAAUACUGGGAUAGCAGACACCAGUAUCAAUGUCCACUAUGUCAGGAGAGAUUCCCCAGAAAACCUAGUUGUCAACACAGCAUUCAGAGAUGUUGUUGAUAGAUUUAAAGCAAGAAGAACAGCCCCUGCCCUUUACCCUGGAAUUGUUUGGAUCACGGUCCUGAUCUUGGUCAUGAUCUUUGUCCUGAUUUUGGUGUUUGUGGCAGACCUGGGUCAGCUCUCACCGCAUCUCCUACAGGACCUCCCAUCCAAGGACAGAUCUGGGAAGGACUGGUGGUGGAGACAGUGAGAGGAACUUCAGAAUGGACUGGGCUAUACUUGGUAGUUUAAAAAAUAUAUAUAUAUAUACAGUUGAAGUCUGAAGUUUACAUACACCUUAGCCAAAUACAUUUAAACUCAGUUUCAAAAUUCAUGACAUAAAAAUUCCCUGUCUUAGGUCAGUUAGGAUCACCACAUUAUUUUAAAUAAUAGUAGAGAGAAUGAUUUAUUUCAGUUUUUAUUUAUUUCAUCACAUUCCCAGUGGGUCAGAAGUUUACAUACACUCAAUUGGUAUUUGUUAGCAUUGCCUUUAAAUUGUUUAACUUGGGUCGAACGUUUUGGGUAGCCUUCCACAAGCGUCCCACAAUAAGUUGGGUGAAUUUUGGCCCAUUCCUCCUGACAGAGCUGGUGUAACUGAGUCAGGUUUGUAGGCCUCCUUGCUCGUACAAGCUUUUUCAGUUCUGCCCACAAAUUUUCUAUAGGAUUUGAGGUCAGGGCUUUGCAAUGGCUCCUCCAAUAUCUUGACUUUGUUGUCCUUAAGCCAUUUUGCUACAACUUUGGAAGUAUGCUUGGGGUCAAUGUUCAUUUGGAAGACCCAUUUGCGACCAAGCUUUAACUUCCUGACUGAUGUCUGGAGAUGUUGUUUCAAUAUAUCCACAUAAUUUUCCUACCUCAUGAUGCCAUCUAUUUUGUGAAAUGCACCAGUCCCUCCUGCAGCAAAACACCCCCACAACAUGAUGCUGCCACCCCUGUGCUUCACAGUUGGGAUGGUGUUCUUCGGCUUGCAAGGCUCCCCCUUUUUCCUCCAAACAUAACGAUGGUCAUUAUGGCCAAACAAUUCUAUUUUUGUUUCAUCAGACCAGAGGACAUUUCUCCAGAAAGUACGAUCUUUGUCCCCAUGUGCAGUUGCAAACCGUAGUCUGGCUUUUUUAUGGCGGUUUUGGAGCAGUGGCUUCUUCCAUGCUGAGCGGCCUUUCAGGUUGUCGAUUUAGGACUCGUUUUACUGUGGAUAUAGAUACUUUUGUGCGUGUUUCCUCCAGCAUCUUCACAAGGUCCUUUACUGUUGUUCAGGGAGUGAUUUGCACUUUUCACAGCAAAGUACGUUCAUCUCUAGGAGACAGAACGCGUCUCCUUCCUGAGCGGUAUGACAGCUGCAUGGUCCCAUGGUGUUUAUACUUGCGUACUAUUGUUUGUACAGAUGAACGUGGUACCUUCAGGUGUUUGGAAAUUACUCCCAAGGAUGAACCAGACUUGUGGAGGUCUACAAUUUUUUGUUGUUGAAGUCUUGUCUGAUUUAUUUUGAUUUUCCCAUGAUGUCAAGCAAAGAGGCAGUUUGAAGGUAGGCCUUGAAAUACAUCCACAGGUACACCUCCAAUUGACUCAAAUGAUGUCAAUUAGCCUAUGAGAAGCUUCUAAAGCCAUGACAUAAUUUUCUGGAAUUUUCCAAGCUGUUUAAAGGCACACUGAGUUGACUGUAUGUAAACUUCUGACCCAUUGGAAUUGUGAUACAGUGAAUUAUAAGUGAAAUAAUCUGUCUGUAAACAAUUUUUGAAAAAAUGACUUAUGUCAUGCACAAAGUAGAUGUCCUUACCGACUUGCCAAAACUCUAGUUUGUUAACAAGAAAUUUGUGGAGUGGUUGAAAAACGAGUUUUAAUAACUCCAACCUAAGUGUAUGUAAACUUCCAACUUCAACUGUAUAUUGUCUUUGGAUGACAUGUACUGUGACAUGUACUGACUGAUUUCGCCUAGUGUCUAUUUGUUACUGAUAUAUCAAAAGGGUCUCAACGCAACCUAACACUUUACCUUUGUACUUGUCUUUUCUUUCUACCAACCGAUUUUGCUGAUUUGUUUUAUUGAGAAUGUUUUGUCGCUCUGGAUAAGAGCGUCUGCUAAAUACCAAAAACAAAUGUAAAACAUUUACUCUCCAGUCAGCUAAGGCCGGGAUUCGAUCCGAUCGUGAGCAUGGAUGUAAUGGUAAAGAAAAAUAGGUGGGUAAAGGCUAAUCACUGUUCGCGGUGAGUAACACUAUAUUUUCAAAAGGUUGGUAAAUGCUUGCUCAAAAUAAAAAAGGUGUGUAAAACAGCAUUUACGUGCAAUUACCUUCCACUACAUCUCUGAUCACGGGUUAUAGGCAUGGCGGUUUUUAAAGGCAAUGUACCCGCGUUCGCGGAGAUACCAUUCACUGUAAACGCUGCAUAUAUCGGCUCAAUCGGAAAUUGCUAUUAAAAGCUAUAAUUGCUAUUAAAAGCUAUAAUGCCUAUAACACGCAAUCAGAUUGAAUACCGGCCUAAAUCAUGAUGGUCUCAGAGAAUACUUUAGUCCAAUAGUAGUUUUGGAAAUGAUUUUUUUUUAUGUGUAGACAAGAAAAUACAAAACAAUAUGAUAACAGUUUAGAAAGAUAAUGAAAAGAGCAUGUGCAGGAGAGGCACAACACCCAGAGGCAACUCCCCCUUUCAAAUGUUUAGAAAACAAAGACAUACUGAUUCUUAAGACAGACAAGCAAAUCAUUCGAAAUUUACACAAACAACAAAAGGAAAACAUGAUGAAUUAGGGGGUAAAAAAAAUAAGAAAGAAUUUCAAGUAAAAUGUAGAAACAAAACGAGUGGCUGAUAGACAGAUAAUUAUUAGGUGGCUGAUAGGCAGAGAAUUAUUCGGCUGAGUCAAUGAGUGGAAUGUCCAGAAGAUAUUUUUUCAAUUUGAAUGUUGAGGCUGUUCCAGUGCUUACGGUGGUCCGGGAGACUGUUCCAGUGCUUACGGUGGUCCAGGAGACUGUUGCAGUGCUUACGGUGGUCCGGGAGACUGUUCCAGUGCUUACAGUGGUCCAGGAGACUGUUGCAGUGCUUACGGUGGUCCAGGAGACUGUUGCCAUGCUUACGGUGAUCUGGGAGACUGUUCCAGUGCUUACGGUG